rnacentral:rRNA from 1 species
UACGUAGGUGACAAGCGUUGUCCGGAUUUACUGGGCGUAAAGGGCGCGUAGGCGGCCCUCCUUGUCGCGUGUGAAAGCCCCGGGGCUCAACCUGGGAACGGCGCGCGAGACGGGGGGGCUGGAGUUCGGGAGAGGAGCGUGGAAUUCCCAGUGUAGAGGUGAAAUUCGUAGAUAUUGGGAAGAACACCGGUGGCGAAGGCGGCGCUCUGGACCGAGACUGACGCUGAGGCGCGAAAGCGUGGGGAGCAAACAGG